ACCCAUGGUAAAAUGCAAUCAAGGGAAGUUCUUUAAUUCAUCAUUUCAUGCAUAUUUGAACUUAUUUGAGUAUCCUCAAUCAUCAAUUCAUCAAGAUAUGAGGCAUGGACUUGAGAAGUUGAUCAGUCAAUUCAUCAGACUAUCUUGAAAUGCACUGAGACCUAACUUAUUAUAUGUUGGUCAAAUGGAGAUGGUUCCAAAAGCAAAAAUGUUUUUAAGGACAAUAUGAACAACUUUCAUGUUCAUCAAAAUUUGAUUUGAAUUUUGGAAAACCAUCUGCCAUUCCAAUACAUUAUAGGUCAUUUUGACUGAAACCCUAAUUUUAGGUCAACUUCCCAAGGACAUAACUCAUUCAUUUUUUAUGAUUUUGAGGUGGGAUCAAAUGAAUUGGAAAUAUUAAGAUGUCUACUUAAAAUGUUAUGUUUAACAAAAUUUCAAAAUGUCAAAGGAAAUACAUGUGAUAAUGCAAGACAUUAUAGGUCUUUUUGGGUCAAAGGCAUUAAAAGUAAAAAAAGUCCAACUUCAAGUGCCCAUAACUCUUUCAUAAAAAAUCUAAAUGAUGCAAAAUGUAAGUCAAUUUUGAUUGUCUUGAAAAUCUCUACAACUUUUAUGUUGGAGGUGUUUCCAUUUGAAGCUUGCAUCAUCAAAACAGAGGGGCUUGAAAGUUAGCCAAUUUUAGAAACCUUGCCUUGACAUGUUUUGCACAUCACACUUUAAACUCAAAUUUCAUAAAUUUCCACACUUCAAAUGAGUUUUUUCCCAACAUAACAUUUGUUUCUUAUACAAAUACCUUUCCAAACAUUACCCACAUGACCAUGUUUGGAUUUUUUAAAUGGUACUUUCGAAGAGAUGAAUGUUUAGGUACAAAGAAGGCAUUCACUUGAAAUCUUGGUGCAUAAGCAAUUGCCUUGCAAUUCACACGUCCAUUUCCAUCUGGCUGGUGUUCAGAACUCAUUCGGCGUUGUUUUUAGGCUUUGUGCAUGAUCAUGCAAGCCCAUGCAAUGAAGCUUCACAUGCCAUGCACACGGAUUGCUCACACUCUCCUUGCCAUUUUCUCUAUAAAUAGAGACUUCAUUUCACUCAUUUCACACGCCAAUUUCAACCUGAAAUGCUGCUGAAAUCUUUCUCUAACCAUCACUAAAGAAGCAAGUUCCAUUUCUCUUAAAAUUUUCAGAUUUUGAAUUCAGCUUCACCUGGUUGUUUUCUUAGAUCUAAUGCUUCUAAACCUUCACUAUACAUCUCAUUGAACUUCUGUUUUGGCAAAGCAAGCAAGGUUUCAAGCUCAAGAUACCAGAAUUCAAGCUUACAUUCCAACUGGUAUUUCCU
rnacentral:lncRNA from 1 species